UACCAGUGCACCAGCAGAGUCCUGACCUGACCUCCCAGUCCCAUCCCUGUAAGCUGCUGCGAUACCAAUGGUGGGGAAAUGGCUUCACGGCUAUGCUCCACCACAGAAGCGAACAUUAGACGAAGAAGAGAUUAAAGGUAAGGUCACUGCCCAGAGGAUCCUGGCUGAGACCGUAUAAAAUGGUGUCAUUUACACCUUUUUCAGGGUCAGUUUGAUCUGUUGAUGCAGUUCAGGAAAGAAAGAGUCUGACAGGAAGUAGGCCACAUCCAUACCAUUAUUAAAACAAGAAUUUGAAUUAUUUGUGAAUUAAAAGAAAACAUUUUAAAAUCAAGGCGUCUCAUCUGCUACUAGUGUGGUCCUUUAAAGCCUUUUAUAGAACUAGGUAUCUUAAUGACUAUUUGCUCCCACAUUUACAUGCCUAGCUAGUAAGAUUAUUAUUUUUCCAGAGCCCUUACCUCCUGCAAUCAGGUUACCAGAGGUAUGAUCAGGGAUGUUUUGAGAAGAUUGAGUGAUUAUGUAGACAAAAAGAAGAAUAAUUUUCUAAUUUUUGGCUGUCAGCUUCUGGGUGGGUGGCGCAGCUUGCAGUCAAACUACCUGCUUUGUUUGUGCUCUCUCUCUCUCUCUCUCUCUCUCUCUCUCUCUCACACACACACACACACACACACACACACAGGCAUAGUGGAGCAACAGUGUGGGGGGCCUUUUGCAUAAAAGUGCAUGUUCUACCUAUAAGCUCUGUAGCCACUUCAUCUAGUACCCCAGUAGGGAUAAUGGAGUUUGCUGGAGGGGACAAGCCUAGCAAAUAAUACAUUGUUAGCAGGGGCGUCUUGCCCAUAGAGGCAAGUGGCAUAGGGCGCCAAGUUCUGGAGGGCAUCAGGGAAGAGGCAGAGGCUGGAUGAGGUGCCUCCCAGCAUCAGCUCACUGCCCUCGCCCGCCUUGCUGAAGCAGCGCCGUGCCCCGGAGCCUCCGCCUCUUCCCCGCCGGAGGAGCCACCCUCCAGCCCCUGCCUGCCUCCUCCAGCCCCACAAAGCUGCUGGCAACGACAUAAAAAGGUGGACAACUCUGGGAAAUGGGGGGGGGAGGCCCACCGGAGGGAUCUUUGCACCACGGCACCGGAUAUACAGUGGUACCUCAGGUUACAUACGCUUCAGGUUACAGACUCCGCUAACCCAGAAAUAGUGCUUCAGGUUAAGAACUUUGCUUCAGGAUGAGAACAGAAAUUGUGCUCCGGUGGCGCAGCGGCAGCAGGAGGCCCCAUUAGCUAAAGUGGUGCUUCAGGAUAAGAACAGUUUCAGGUUAAGAACAGACUUCCGGAACAAAUUAAAUACUUAACCUGAGGUACCACUGUACUUAAGAAGGCCCUGUUUGUUAGGUAGGUUCAGCUCAGACUGAGACUGGCUGAAUAUUACUCAGUGAAUUUCUUAGCCGAUCAGGGCUGUAAACCAGCUCUCCCCAAACAAAGCCCAUCCUUCUGCCUACCACAGUGUAAAGGAUACUAUACUAUGCUUUCUCAGCUCACUAUUCUCUUACGCAAGUGCUCCUAAUGAAUUACAGGUGCUGUAUACUACUGCUCUCUGGUAUGUAUCAAUAAAGUUAUACACACAUGUAUAUAGAUCCACAGCUGUGCAUUUUUGGACCUUAUUGGAGGCAUGCCUGGGGGAUGACAAAAUGAUUUCCUACACAUCAAAAUUUACCACUAUGCCACUGGUGUGUGAACAUGCAUGCCACCAAACUAGUAGUUGAAAUACAGCUCUCAUGAUAUUCAGUGCAUAGGAUUGCACUGUAAGAUAUAGAGUUGCCAUAUGUCCAGGAAAACCCAGACAUGUCCUCCUUUGGGGGGCCAACAUGCCCAUCCAGGUGAUUUCUUUUACAUUUUAAAGGAAAUGUCUGGGUUUUAGGUGUUUUUUAGGCUUAGGCUUGGGCUUAGGCUGCUCUGAACAUCAAGACUGCUGGCGGCCCAAGCUGUGGAAAGAGGUACACAGGCACGGCGGCAGCCCCAUGUGGGUGCACCCGCUCACCUCUUUCCCCAACUUGGGCUGGCAGCAGCUCAGGCUGUCUUCUUUUUUGCUUUUAAGAUAUGGAAACCCUAGAUAAUAAUAUAUGAACCUCAAAUCUUAAUGAAAGAACCAAACUUCAUUUUUCUCAGUUUCAAGCUUAAGUAUGAAUUGUUUCUUUCUUUAAUGGUAAUUUUAAAAUGCAAUUGUCAGUCAGUACUUACAGGUUUCCUUUUUUCAGAAAGUGUUUCUGCCCCCAGUGGCAGAUCAGCUUUUCCGUUUCAAAGGUUUUCCAAAUGAAAGCAAAUUUUGAUUUAUUUAGGAACUGAUUUCUCUUCCUAAAUCCAGGUUCCAUCAUGAACCUCAAACAGUAUUUCACUGCAGUGAUGCAGAAGAGGCUAUAUUACUAUAAACUUGUCUGUAAUUCCCAUUUCCUUAGAUGCGUGUGUUCAGGAAUUCAGCAAAUUGUUGGUGUUCAGUGGAAGAUAGGCAGGUUUCAAUUUGGCACAUUAUUAAACUCAAUAACAAUAAACAAGUACCGGUAAAUAUAAAACCUCAAAAUGUGGCAAUACUGCAACAUUUAUUUUGAACUAUUCACAAUGCAUUGGGUCUGGACCUAGUCAUUCUUUGUGCAGACGAAGUAGAAUCAAUGCACUGUAACUUGGUUGAGAUUAACUGGGUCUGUUGUUUUCAAUGAAUCUGCUCUAAGCAAGAUUAAAGCCUGGAUCAAACCCAUUGUUUUAUUAUCAUUGAAGAAUAUGCUAAGACAGAAGGUUGCUUAACACAUACUUUUGCAUGCUUUAUAUUUGAUAACUAGUCAAUGCUGAUUGUCAGUAGAUUUUAUGAGAGUGUUUAUCAUGGUGCAUAAUAAUAAUCAUUAUUCAUUCAAGAUGCUAUAGAUUGGAUAACUGGCAACACAAAUCUCAGCUUUUUUCAUGAAAUUUUAUUGACGCUUUUUCAUAAUCUUUCAAAGUCUUAAUGUCUUCUCAGCAUUUCUUAUCAAAGCGUGUUCCUUUCCCACAGGGUCGGCAAACUAAGGCCUGGAUCCAGUCCACCAGGCUCAUAAAUCCGACCUGUGGACCCUGCCACCCACUCAGUCAGUCCCCGCACGCUGAGCUAAGCCGGCGUAGCAUGGUGUUUCCUUCAGAAGAAGCUGUGGAAGCCUCGCCGCAUGGGGACUGACUUCCGCAACACUGGCGCAGCUUCGGAUUGGCUGCAGGAAGCUCCUGUAGCCAAUCCAAAGCCGUGAUGUUUGGAUUUCUGCGCAGGUGAGGCGACGGCGUGGAUCAGAGCGGAGGCGGUGCUGCCACCCCCAGCACCUGAGCAAGGCUUUCCCAAUGGCAACGGUGCACACUUGGCAAGGGCCCCUGGCUUCCCCUCGGCCUCCUCAUCUGAUGCCUCUUCCUCCUCCCCUGCCAUUGCUGCUCCUGCUGCUUCUCCUCCAGGUUUAGGCAUGGCCACUCAUGUCAAUGGGUUUAGGAUUGAGUAAAAAGUAGGGGAGCGACUUCCAUGUAAAUACGCAUUUCACAAGUACAGGCUGACAGUUAUGGUUUGGAGAUUUAGCAGUCAGCUUUUAUUUUUUUUAAGGGCAUGGCUGGGGCAGGAUGGCAUGGGCGAAGGAGCUCCAGGAACUUCAGCCACCUUUUCUUGGAAGCCUGUGGCUUCAUAUCUCUCCUACCUCAGUUCAUUAAGAUCAUUAAAGGCAUAGAUCCAUCACUUUUAAAAUAAUAAAAAAUGAAAAUGUCAGAAUGCUUAUGUCCUGUUUUUUGUGCACUACAAAUAAAAUAUGUGCAGUGUGCAUAGGAAUUCGUUCAUAUUUUUAAAAACUAUAGUCCGGCCCCCGACAGUGUUUGAGGGACAGUGAACCGGCCCCUGUUUAAAAAGUUUGAGGACCCCGGGUAUAGACUAUGCACACAAACUUUAUGGACUUUACACCUGAGUAACUAUGCAGAGGAUUUCACAAUGAAAUUCCCUUUCUAGCAGUGGGGGCUACUUGACUCACGAAGCAGGUAACAUAAUAAAGCAAAGCCGAAUAUUUUUUAGUGUAAAAUAAAGGAAAUUCCAGUAAGUCUGGUAUUAAAAGUUCCUAUAAUGAAAUAAUAGUAUAGCUUUAUUGGAUUCAACAACAGAAAAAAGUAACAGCCAAAUUAAAUGAACAGCAUUGAUCAUGCCUGAUUGACUGAUGUUUGAAGACAGUGAUUGAGAUCAAUGUUUGAUUAAAUAUUCAUGAUGUUAGUUGCAGGGAAUAUUGAACGCCUUAACAGCAAAAUCAAUUCAUUAACUUUAUUAAUGAGGCUUCACAAUUGUUAACUGUCUCUGCACAGUUCUUCUAAGAAUAUAUUAAAGAAGGAAAAAAUAUCUAAACUGUCUUUGUACAAUGGCAACAAUGCCUGCAAUCCUCUAUCCUCUUACAUGAGAGUAAGCCCCAUUUCAUUCAACAUGACUCUCUUUUGAGUAAAGGAUUGCACUGUGCCCACCGCCAUGAAAAUAUGUCUCAGUAAAGUUAAUGGGAGGUUCUUCUGAGUAAACAUGUACAAGAUUGCGCCACAAGGGAAUUAUCCCUAACAAAACAGAAAUUGCAGAUUUAUUUUUUAAAAAUACAUUAGCUAAAACACAAAUAAUAUUUCUAGGUCUCCAUGCUCAAACCCCAAACUAAAGUCUGCAAUUGUAGAUGAAUUUGCUAAGGAGUAAGGAUAGGUGGUGCUGUGGUCUAAACCACAGAGCCUAGGGCUUGCCGAUCAGAAGGUCGGCGGUUCGAAUCCCCGCAGAGGGGUGAGUUUCCGUUGCUCGGUCCCUGCUCCUGCCAACCUAGCAGUUCGAAAACAUGUCCAAGUGCAAGUAGAUAAAUAGGUACUACUCUGGCGGGAUGGUAAACGGCGUUUCCAUGUGCUGCUCUGGUUCGCCAGAAGAAGUUUAGUCAUGCUAGCCACAUGACCCGGAAGCUGUCUGUGGACAAACGCCAGCUUCCUUGGCCAGUAAAGCCAGAGAUGAGUGCUGCAACCCCAGAGUCAUCCGCGACUGGACCUAACAGUCAGGAGUCCCUUUACCUUUAAGGAUAAGUUAACCCGCCAGUUUUGGUAUCUCUCACAUUUUCAUAUUUCCAGUUUUAAGUUCAGUUCUCCACAUUUCCAUAUAAAUUUGCAAAUGUUUCUUUAAAGUCCUCAUGAAAAUUCAUCAGCAUUCUCAUAUAAAUUUCUCCUAAUAUAGCCGCUUGAAUGCAAUUUUGCCUAAUACAGUAUGCAUAUUUUUGCAAAGCAGUUUCCCCUAACAUUUCUGUUGUUUUCACUAAUACAUGCAUUUUAUGCACACACUGCCCUAGUAUAUGCUGUUUUGUCCACAUUAAAAAAGGUAAAGGACCCCUGACAUUUAAGUUCAGUCGCGAACGACUCUGGGGUUGCGGCGCUCAUCUCGCUCUACAGGCUGAGGGAGCUGGCGUUUGUCUGCUUCUGCAGACAGUUUUUCUGGGUCAUGUGGCCAGCAUGACUAAGCCACUUCUGGCAAACCAGAACAGCUCAUGGAAAUGCCAUUUACCUUCCCACCGGAGCGGUACCUAUUUAUCUACUUGCACAGCUGUGUUUUGCUUUGCAUAUUAAUUUCAGUAGUUCUGCCUUUAAAUGUGAACUGAACUGAAUUCCUCACUCAUUCCUACUAGGGAAGUAAGCCUCACUGUCUUACAAGUGAGUGCUGAACUACAGAGAUUUCUGAACUACCAGCCCCAGGAAGCAUGGCCAAUGGACCAGAAUGAUGGACUUGUCAUUCAGCAAAAUCUGGAUGACCAAAGGUUCUACACAACUGUUGAAUUAAAUGGACUAAAAGUAGGACUUACUACUGAGUAAGCAUGCAUAAGAUUGCACUGCAAAUAUUACUGGGGGGGGGGGGGGGUAAAGGAAAGUAACUGCAGGAGCUUGGCACCAGAUACUGUAGGUCCAUACUUCAGUACUUUGGAGGCCAGCUUGCAGUGCCUCAUGGAGCAAGGUAAGACUAUUGGGGUGGGCAUGAUGGAUUAGCAACUUGCCCUUUCCCAGGACCCUGCUUGAUUUCCCUGCCUGCCAACCCCGCUGCUUCAGUAAGAACCUCUUUUGUCCCCUCCCUCCUUCUGGGCGGCAAGGAGGCCAUUUCUCAGAGUGAUAAAUUGUGUGUGAUGUGCCAAGGAGAGUGCCUGUAUUGCGGUUUGCCAUGUGGCUUGGAAUGCUCUUUAAAUUUAGGGGGGGAAGCUUAAAAUACCAAAUAACAUUAAGCCUCUACCCCCCCCCCCAAGUUUAAAGAGCAUUUCCACUCACUGUGGCAAACUGAAGCAGCACAGCCACUCUGCAAACCACCUCACCCAGAAUGCAUCAUUUUCAUUUAGUCCUUUCUAGAACAAGGGGGGAAGUUGUGGGAGACCCAGUGUUGCUACUGGUAACACAGUGGUAAAAGGGAAGAAAGUAAGCAUGUGGGGGGAGAGAGGGGAGGGGAUGCAACAGGGCCUCAGGAGGUGCAACGUCUUGUGCUAGCCCUGUCUGCACUGAACGUUAUAAUAAAGGCAGGAACACAAGAUACAGGUUAAUCUGGAUGUUAACAAAUGCACAAACUACUUCCUCAAUUGUGCUUUGCAUAUCUUUAAAAAGAACAAAGCUUGCAAAUACUGCAAACUAAUGGUUCUGCAUAUUCUACCAGUGCCAGGCUUGAAUAUAAUCUCUGCAAAAUAAUCUUCCUUUGGUCUUUGCUUUAUUUAAUUUUCCUGAUAAGUGGUGUGAGCUCUUCGAAUGAAGACGAGACUGGGACUUUAAAUACAAUCUGGACAUAAAAUACUAUGCAAAUUACUAAAAAAAUUAUAAACUGAACAGACUUAGAUAAAUACAUCCUCCCCCCCCCCCCCACUCUUUUAGAAAUGACUGCAUUGUUGCAGUGAAGUCUCCGGCCCAUUAUUUACACAAAUAAUCCUUUCUGUCAAUGUUCAUUAGUUAACAAAACAAAAAUUAAUUAAAGGUUUGAUUAAACAAAGAUUUAGAUAUCUAUGCUUUGAGAAAGAUUAGAUCCUCAGAUCACUUACUGUUAUUCAACUCUUCUCAUAAUCAAAACAAAAGAUAUGUAGAAACAUUAUCCAAGAUGUACUGAGCAAAGGAUCAUUGGAAGGAAUUUGGUAGAAAAUAUUUUUUUAAAAAAAUUAUUUUAUAAUGCAGUUAGAAAACAGCAAGAAGCAGAUUUUCAGUGUAUUUAUUCAUUCUAAGAUUUGGUAACCAGCAUAAUAAUAAAUCAUAAUAAUAGUAAUAUACUAAAAAUCAAUAAACUAUCAAAACUUAAAUGGAAAACCAAAGCACAAAAGAAUAAUUAAAAAUACGAAGUUGACAACAGCAGAGUCAGUAUAGACAUAGAUCAGAUUCAGUCAGUUAUUUGGUGCCAUAGACAAUAUAAAUUCAGUAUAUAUUAAUUAAACCAGUGAUGUGGAACCUACAGCCCAUGGGCCAAACUUUGCUCACCAGGGUUUCUCCCCAAACCAUGCCCACCCAUCCAGCAGCUGACUGAUGAUGUCAGCUAAUGGGCAGGAGGGGGGGAAUUAAUCCUGUGUUGGCUGUGUGAUCCCAUUCCCAGCACAGUAUAGGAUCGUACAGUCUGGGCAGCAGGAUUUAUUCUACAUUCAUCACAGAUCAGCCAAAAUCAAAGAUGGGAGAGAAAUCAAAGUGAGAUUGGGAAUUCAAAUGGGCUCACAUAGACGUUUUCAAGUCUCUGCCUAAAUUCCUGAUCUCAAGCAAAGACUGAACAUUGGAGAACUCUCCUUGUUGCAUUAUUUCAAACUGCACCUCUUUCUCUUCCCUUUCUUUUCAAGAUUAGUUUAAAAGAGGGAUUACAAAUAAAGAUUGUAUUUUAGAUGGCUGAAUGUAUUUUGUUAAAACCCAGUAUUAUUAUAAUUUGAACCUAUCUAGUCAGAAGUAAACAACACUGGAACUUAUUCCCAGGAAAAUACACAAUGCUUGUAAGAAAGUUGGGGCUUAGCUUAGUAGGGGUAUGUGUGAAUGUUUGAAAGGGCCAAGGCUGUUUUGGUCCAGUAUCUAUCCAGCUCUUAGCAGAUAUACAACACAAGCUUCAUUGUGAAAGCAAUGCCAGGGUGUUAGCUAUUAUGUUUAAAUAAAGACUUCAAAAGAAAGUAUUACAUCUAAGAACAAAGAUACUUUCUAGUAUUUUUCUGCUUUCCUCUUUCACUUUUCAUACUUUAUAUAUAACCAGGGGCUACCAUUUGUACUGACAUUUCUGGACUUCAAAGUGAGAGUAUUAAGACAGUGACCAUGUCUGUUACAUAGUGACCAACAUAAGAAAAUGGAAAUGGUGCUACAUCAACAAAAGCAAACAAAUCCUGCUGAUCAUUUACAAUAUUCUAUUUUAUCCCCCAAUAAGAUUGCCAAUAGAACAAAAACCUGGAUAAACAAAUAGAAUUUUAUUUUCACUAUCUCCUUUCUUGUAGGAUCACCCCACAAGCUUGAGGGUAAUUCUUUUCAUGUCACCAUAUAUUAAAAAUAACAAAACACUGUAAUGAAUAGGGAGGUACUUUAUAAUUUUAGAAUAACAGUUGUAUCCAGGUUAGGUUGGUAUCAUGCCAAAUGUUAUGAUAGUAGAAUAUAGUGACCUUUUGUAUUGCUACAGAUGAAAUAUAAGUGCUUGGAAAAUUUAUCUUAAAAAGGAACUAGUUCAAGUUCAUCCUGUACAAAAAGAAACUAGCUUCAAAUCCAGUUUUAAAAAAAGCUAAUAAAACAAAAAAAGCUAAUAAAACAGCAAAAAACCCACAUCAUUCAGCUGCUGAAGUCUAAAAUAUACUUAAGAAGUCUAGGAAAACAUUAGCACACAUACACACAGUGGAUUCAGUUCUUGACUUCACACAAUGAGAGACAAAAGUUGCAGAUAUUUUGUCAUAUGUAAAUUUGUGCCCCCUUUGCAGACAGUGGAGAAGAGCACCAAAGUAAAUCAGGGGGCACACACAAUAAGAUGUCUAACAGAAAGAAUGUCAACUGGUGAAGAUUUCCCCAUAACUAUUUUCAUACUACAAAAGACCCUGCUCAAUUAGGUGAGCAGAUCAUAGGAAGUAUGAGGUUGAGUUGCAAAUCUCUAUUAGGCUGCAAUCUUUAACUUGCCUACUAGAAAGAUAGUCCCAGUAAACUAAGUGGAGCAUACUUCUAAGUAGACAUGCAUAGGAUUUCACAGCUAUUCUCGUUCAUGCUGACUUCUCCUUUUUCUAAUUUCUGUCUUGCAUCCAAGCACUUAUCCAGACUUCUAUUUGUCCUACCUCUUUCCCCUUAAAACCACUCAGACCCUGUGCUUUCUAGAUACAAGCAAAAGUAUGGACUACCCUAAGUUUCCAAAACGCUGGAUGUUUCACAAGACAGAAUGUCACACAAAUUCUCUAAAACUGUUCACUACAGUUCUGAAAUUGCUUUUCUAUCAAGUCCUCUGGGAGUGUGAAAUAAACAUUGACAGGGAACAGCUAAAGCAUUUAUUUUUUGCUGAUGACUGUAUAAUAUUUGCUAAUGAUACAUACGAAUUAGAGAGGGAAGUUAGCUGGAACAAAAAUAAUGCAAAACAGGAGCAUCAUGAAAUGGCUGCUGAAUGAGUAUUGUCCAGUUCAAAUCAGUGGUGAAGUAAUAAGAGAAGUGGAGAGUUAUGCCCACCUUUGGCCAACACAUGACUAAUAUCCAUACUUUGGGGGGGGGCAUUAAUGCUGCAGCAAAAAGAAAAACAAGAAAGGAAGAGCAGCAUGGGACAAAAUAAAGCCAUCAUUAUCUGAUAAUGAACUGCCAGCUUUAGAGCUCAACCAACAUGUCUGCUAUGAUAUACAGUGUGGAGUACUGGCUGACAACAUUAACUGAUGAAGAAAAAUUAGGUGUUAUACAAAGAGCUAUGAAAUGACACAUGUGAAAUAUCUCUCUUAGUGACGGUAUAUAAAAUGAAGAAAUAUGACAGCACAUGGGUGUAACAGAUGCAAUACAAGCUAUUGGUGACAUCAAGCACAGAUACACCAUCCAUGCAGCCACAAGCAAGAAAGCAGGUGGAUCUCCUGCCAUAUGAGAUGAAAACAUCUUGUCAGACUUAAAAGUAUUAUGGGGUGAUCCAAUAUAAAACUUUUUGUCAGUUCACGCAAACACACUCAGAAAAGAACAUGUAGGCUUUCAUGGGGAAAGAUCAAGUACAAGCAUAUGGUUAAAUCCAUAAGCAAUGGUGAUGAAAGUUCCAGCAGUUUUCAUUUUGUUUAAACUCUGCUUAUAAAAUGGUCUGAAUCAAAACCUUCCCUCAAAACUAUUUCUCAGUCAAAGCAGUGGUAGAACACCUGCAUGGAAAAGGUCCCAGGGUCAGUUCAUAGCAUCUCCAUGUACAGUUGGAACUGAAAUGCUGGAGAGUGGCUACCAGUCAGUGUAGGCAAUACUGUGCUAGAUGAGCCAAUGGUCUGACUUUGUAUAAGACAGUUUACUAUCUGGGAAAGGACCAUAGCUCAGUGGUAGUGUAUCUGCUUUGCAUAAAGAAAGUCCAGGAUUCAAUUUUAAGCAUCUUCUAGUUGAACUAGGAGAGAGCCUUGCCUAAAAUCCUGGAGAGCCUCUGCCACUCAGCAUGGACAGUAUUGAGCUAGAUGAAUCAAUGGUCUGAGUAGAAGGCAGUGUCAUAUGUUCCUUAUGCUUAUGGGAUCAUAUUUCCUUGUUUUUCCUUCUACAAGAUGACCAUUUGCUUCUAUGUUUUAUUUGCUAGUGCUUGAAUCUAAACUUUCCACUUAACUCUUCAGGCUAUUAUUAAGGAAAGAUUUCCAUCUAAAAUGAUAAAAUAUAUCAACACUUGGGGACCUCCAGAAAUGUAUAAGGGGGAUGAGGUCAAAAGAGAGGAAACUUUUUGUUACUUUCCACUCCACCGUCCUCCUGACCAGUUGACUUUCCUCUUUCCACUCCUUUUCUCCUUUGCAUCCAUGCCCAGUUUAUCCAGAGCUUUGGAGUAUCUGAAUACAUAUUAUCAAGUUUCCUGAUCUCUAACAAUCUUGAAGUCAUGUGUUGAUCCUUGGAGAGAAACAAGUUGAGCCAAUUGUACUCUAGCAGUAAUAAGAAACCCUUCUAGUAGCUUAUGGAGUGACGGGCCUAGCAAACAUUUCAUGAGACUGUUCUUGAAGGAUUGAUAAAGAAGCUCUCUAAUUAAAUAAAGGAGUUCAAGGUGCCUUAGUAUCACAUGAAGCCUGCUGUAUAAACUGAGGAGCUCAGGCAGAUUGGAAAGUGGAUGUGAGUCCCUUUGGCAACUGUUUCUCAGACUCGUUCCUCUUCUUGUUUUCAUCAUCUGUGUAUGGUAACUCAGUGAAACAAACUUUCUUUGGCCUACUUGUCAAACUUUAGGCUUUAGCCUCGUACGUAUCAUAGACCUGUCUCAUUGUAAAAUACUAUGAACAGUGAUGGCUCUCUAUAAAUGACAUAUAAUUAUUAUAAUCAUCAACAGCAUAUUCCCCCAUUCAGUAAUUUCCAAAUCAGACUAACAUAAUGCUGCUUAGCAAUUAUUGUUUCAUCUGAUUUCUGAAAGUUCAGCUAAUCAAUUCCCUGUUGGCUUAACAAUGCUACUUAUUAAAUCCUAAUAAUUUUAACAGUGUCAUUAUAUCCAUGACCUCUUCACAUUUUAUUUUAGUUUGCUAGGCAGUUAUUUUAAUAAUUAUUCUACCAAUUACAUGUGUUGUGUUCCAAUGUCAUUCAGAAAAUCCUAAAACUCUAUCGGCAGAGAUGUUCUGAGUUCAGCUAGAAAAAAGUUUGUCUUUGUAUCUCAUUACAUGUUCUUCUCUUCUCCCUGGGAGAGUCCUGGUUUUGAAGCAGGCUGCUGCAAGUAAAUCACUGCAGUGGGAAAGCUCAUUUUAAGUGUUUGCUUUUAUUUUAUUUUUAUUGUACAUGUAUGAGUUCAAAGGAUAGAAUAGGAAGGAAGGGAAGGAAGAAUGGUAUGCCUAAACUAGGGCAUCAUCUUUCACCUCCAGGACAAAGCACACAUUUCUGGUAUGAUCAUAUGUCAGCCUCUAUAUUUCAAGGGAUAACAGUGAUCCACCAGAACUACCACUCAGUUAAGAAGGAAUGUCAUCAGAGGUUGGCAGUGUUGGGUACUAGCCAUUACUGCUAGUAAUAAUGUGAGCAGUUGAUUUCUCUUUCUCUCUCUAGCUCUUUGUCUGCAUUUUAUUUUUAUUAAAUUAGUUAUAAACCAUUAUUAAUAAAGCUCCAAAGUGACCAAAUUCAUAUAAUUCUGAGUUUUUGAAAAUAUUGUAUCUGCUGAUUUUACAAAGUAGUACACCUCUUUGUUUAAAAAGCAUAAAGAGUCUGCCUUAAGCUUUGCAUUUAUUGAUAUUAGUAUGUUUUGAUCAUUAAGGAGAGAUACAGCUAGAACUCUGGGAGGAAGAGAAGAGGGAUGCAGGCUCAAUGACAUUCAUGUUAGAACUGUAAUUGAGUGUAGCAGUCUGUAGGCCUCUAUUGAGUUUGAGAAUGGUUUCAACAAAAGAAGUUGAACUUUCUACAUCACCCUGGUCUUUAGCCUCUUCUGAUUUAGCAUUUAAAAUCACAGUCCUAAACUGCAAACACCUACUGCAAUUGAUGGCCAUCUGUUUAAUCUAGAUAUGCAGAUUGCAACAGCAUAAAAUUAACAGAUGGAGAGUGCAAUAACCCAAAUAGGAUCACUGUAUUUUCAGAGUGACCAUAAAAAUUUAAAUUUUACUGAUCCAUUCACAUUUUCUGCCAUUUAGUAUCAUCUAGCCCAUGCUGAUAGGCCAUCAGCAAUGGGAUCUUCCUCUGGGGUUUCACUCGGAUAAAAGCAGAUGAUUAUUUCUUACUCUCUUGGCCAUACUAAAUGGAGAGUUAACUGCUCAGUUAAAGAUUGCUACAGCAGAAAAAUUAUUUUAAAAGCAGUUACUUCCAGCUAGAUCAUUAUUUAAUGUACACUCAGAGGACACACAGCACUUUGGAAUAGACACAAUUUGGAAAGGUAAGGCCAAUAAUUUAAUUUUCAAAUUUUUAUUUUAAAAAUAUUUUACAAAAUAUAAUCCCAUAGGCAAUAAAGGAUUGGUGCAAAAGGAAAUACAGUGGUUGGGUUUUUUAUUUUUUAAAAAAGGCUAUUCCAAAUGCUUUCUUUGAAAAUAUAUCAAACAUCCAAUUCAAUCAUCCAAAAUGGCCGACAAACCCGUGGGUUCUGGCUGCUGGAGAUGGUGGUUGAGGGUGAGGAGCUGCAACUGCCACUCACCCGAGAAAGGGGCGAGCAACCCUUUAUAUCAAAUUCCUCAGUUUGCUCACAAUACAGGAGAAAUCCGCUAUGGCAGUGAGAUGAGAAAUAUUAUUUGAAUACCAAAAUGCGUUAGCAGCAAAAUUGAUUUCAAAAACUGAUUAUUUUAUUUUAACUGAAGAUAUACAAAAUUACUGUAAGAAUUUCCAAAAGGGUAAGAAACUAGGCUCUGUUCAUUUCGUAUGGCGAGCAAAAAGCACUUUCUGCCCAAAAUGCAUCUUAGCAUUCCUGUCUGCAUCAUGCCAGUAAUAAUUUGAUCCCCUUUGUUUCAGUUUGCUGAUCUCUUCUUCCCUUUAUCUGCAAUCACAAACACUAUUUGUGCCAACCUAAGUACAAACCUAAGUAUGAAACUUAUGCUUGAUCAAUAUGCAAACACUGCGUGCAUAAACUGUCCACUUGCUCUUUGUUGAAAGAACAUUUCCACAAGUGUCAUUCAUUGGGGGACAUGGAAGGUUAUAGGUUAGAAUCCAACAUUGUGCAAGUGGACUUGCAGUUGCCAAAUAGAACUUCACUCUUGCCUUCCCCAAAUCUGCUCUAUAGGAUCCCCCAACAAUCUAGAGCAGAUUUGGGGGAGAGGGAGAGGAAGUCCCAUUGCACAAGAAGUCCAUUCAGCUCAUGUGCAGACACCAUUAGAUACAACCCAUUGUGUUUCCAUUAUUUUUAUAUCACAAAUUUCCCCUCUGAAUAACAUAACACUGAGAAAUGGCUGCUUACCCACAGCAUUAAACCAGUGUCGUUCAAUUGAAACAAUGAUAUUUUCGCCAGUUGGUUAUACUCAAAUAUCAGAUCAUGGGAAUACCGUUAAAUGUCUCCUAAAUAGCUGCAUUUACAAGACAAUUAAAUGUGUGGUGUCAUCUGCAGGAAAGGUGUAGAAUCCAGAUUAAAUGGAUACCAUUAUAGGGCAUAAAGUUAUCUCUAUAUUGAUUUCAUAUAAUUUAAAGCACUAGAUAAUUGCAGGCAUGGGCUCCACAUUGCCAAUAAUUGCUGAGUGAUAUAAUUUAAAAUGCUUGUAAAAUCUAACAAUCUACUGUUUUUAGUUUCAGUUCUAGCUAUUAAAGUAUUACUGAAAAAUAUACACUUUAUUUUUAUGGCGGCAUACUCUAGAAAGGUAGAUUUUAUUACUGUUCAAAUUGGCAUGUCAAUGUUUAUUUAAGAGAGGUUCAUGAACGUCAAGAGCAUCCUUGAACAAUUAGCCCUUCAACUCAGGGAAGCUGUUACAUUAUUGUUCAUAUGUAGGCCAUUUCCAAAAUUCAGGGGACUUGUGCCUGUUCGAUUUAACCUAGGUGAAUGCCUGCAAUAAUUAAAUCUUCCAUUGUUACCUGACAUUUACCCCUUAAAAAUUUGAAGGCUUGAUUACUGCUAUGCACUGCAUAUGGGGUUGGACUGGAUGGCUGUCUAGAAGUUUGAACUGUUACAGAAUUUAUCAGUUUCCAGAAUUUAUCAGUGACCACAAGUGAUUACUGGAGCUUAUCACUACCCUAUGUCGGCUACAUUUAUAGAUUUUGACCUAAUAGUAGUGAUAGUACAUUUAUAUUAUAUUAUAUUAUAUUAUAUUAUAUUAUAUUAUAUUAUAUUAUAUUAUUAUAUUAUAAUAUACUGCUAAGCAGUAAUAAAUAUGAUUUAAUUGUGGAUAAGGGGCCUGAACUGUUUUCCAUUCAUUAGACAUGGGUGGGGGAGGCAGGAGGAGUUCUGUCUCUCAGCAGUGCCCUUCUGGGUGUUCUGUACAGCAGCAGUAUCACAUGAGGGUUAAGCAUGCAAUACACGGGAGUGCCUCUGAAAAACAUCCAGAAACAUCAGCUGCUUGAAAACUGGCCGCAAGAUUAUUAAUGGAAAAUUGUAGGUAUCAGCUGUUUCGUCAGCUGCACUGGCUUCCAGUCCAUUUCUGGACCCAAUUCAAAGGAUGGCUUAACAGCCAUAAAAGCUGAGAACUGGGUUAAUUGAUAGAUUGCCUACUUCCAUUUAUACCUGUUUAAAUCAUUAAAACCUCAGUAUUCUUAAGAGUGUUCUGGGUUCCAGCUCACAGAGACAGCUGUCCCACUGCAAAUGUGCAGGUGCUCCCAAGGCAGCUUUGGGGUGGGGCCAACAGAGGGAUAGAAUAGGGAAAAUGUGCACAUCCUUAGUCUCCUGCCUCACAUACUCAGCACUAUGUGUCCUGAGGUAGAUGGGCAAAUGCAGCUUCCUAUGACCUAUGGUACUUUCUACAAUGUAAUGUGGUUUAGUCUAGAAAUGUUAGCUGGUAUGAAAUGCUACAGCCAGUUUGUUGACUGAUCUGCUACACAUAUGUGGUUCAUGCUACAUUGGUUGCCAGUGGGACCCCAUGCUGGUUGGGUAUCUUCUUCCAAAUGUUCCUCCCUGUUUGAGGCCUUGCCCAUUGGUGUUGAGAAAGAUGGUUACUAGGAGCAGAAACUUUUUGGUAGUGGCACCUACCCCAUGGAACUGCCUUCUAAGUGAAGAUCCAUAACACCCUGACAUUUUAGACCUUUAGGUAUUUGACUAAAACUUGGCUGUUUUAAAGAGGCAUUUCAAUUAAUGUUUUUAGUCUGAUAUAUCUUCCCUUAUGUGGAUUAGUUUUCAGUUUUCCAACAUUUGUUGUUUGAUUAUGCGGUUUUUAUCAAUUUAUUUUUAUUUUGUUUCUGUUCAUACUGUUGACAUGUUGUUAAGCUGCUCGUGAACUGCUUUGAUUCCACCUGGUGGAUAAAAGGAUGAUGUAAGUGAAAAUGAUGAUGAUGAUGAUGAUGAUAGCAAACACAGGUGCAUAAUAAUUAUGUUAGAUGCUGCUACUAGCUGCAUAACAAUAUUUCUGCAUAUCUCUAGUUUUAAAAGACAGAUUUUACAAUUUGCAAUCAACGAAAAAAAGCUCCCAUUCCUUUAUACUUUACCAUAAUCCCGAUCAAAUAGACAUGAAUUCUGCUUAAAUGAAAGUUGGCAUUCAGACCUAAUGAACAGUGCAGUUCAAGUACUGCUGGGACUUUGUUUGGAUGGCAAGCUCUUUAUUGAAUGUUAUGUAUCUUAAGCGCUUGAGGUGCUCCUGCUGUGAAAGCUUAUCACAAUUUAUCCUUACCAUGUUACUGAGGUGAACACUUAGAUACAAUAAAUUCACCAUGCCAUUUUCAUUAGCAUCUACAGCUUUUUAAAAAUUAUUAUUAGACUACAUAGACACACUGUUGUCUGUGUGCGCCAUGUAACUUACAGCCCCAAAAUAGCAUGCCCCAUUUUGUAUGGCUCCUGGAUUCAAUGGUGUGAAACCCAGACAUAGUUAAGAUGACAGACCUACUGUCAGACACUGACAGUGCAAAGAAAUACAGACAGAUGGAUAACAGAUAGAAGGAUCCUAAGUACCCUACAAUUUAUUGAAGCAAAUAGGAGAGUUUUGAGUGGCAAAUUACCUACACUGUUCACAAACCAGCAGGCAGCCCGGCUUGCCAGCUAUCCAAAUUGUUUCUGGGCAAUUUGGCACAUUUCUACUUUGUUGUGCUAUUUCUUAUGGAAUGACUUUGAGUUUUGAUCAUUCCCUGUUGUGCAAGAUCUGUCCAAACAGAAGCAGAACUUUAGGGAAACUUAUCCUCAGGAACAGAGAAUAUAAAAGCCAUUCUCUAAUAAUAAGAAGUGUGAAGAAGAAGGUGAAAUAAUUUUAAUAGAAUAAAUUAAUUCCGUUAUAGGAUGAAGAGGACACACAGCUCUUUCUCUCUAGCCAAAAUGAAAAAGGUCUGGUAGAUAUACCAAAACUAAGCAUAAGUUGAAAAUCUUUUAGCAAACUGAAACACAUCUCACGGAAGGACUGAAUUAGUUAAAUAAUCAUUUGAAAAUUGCCAGAAUAAAUACAAUACUAAAAAGAUUGAUUCACUAUAAAUGUAUCAAUUUUAUUCUCUACACCUCCCAAUGCUUGCAUGUUACAUGUCUAAAUUAUAUUCAGAAAACUAUUGCAACACAGAAUAUAUGGAAUAUAUAUUUGAUACAAAAUCUUACAGUAGUAAGGAAUGUUGUUGGCCAAAACUUAAGAAUGAAAGCAAAGCCAACAGUAAUAUAUAGGAAUGGAGAGGGGGAAAGUCUGGAAGAAAACAAAUGCUACAUUUGUUUAUUUAUAUUUUAAAAACUUGAGUCACUUCUCUCUUAACAAUGCUCAAAGCAACACUGUAUACAGUGCCACAACUAUCCAUCACAUUAUUUAGUUACAUGUAUGGCAUUGGUUUUAUUGGCUUGGAUCUGAAGGUAUCUUGUGUGGGUGGAAAAGACUUUUGCUUGUGCAAAGCAGCCCUGAUGAAUUCUUCUGAUUUUGCCAUCAGUUGCAGCACCCCCUACAUGCUAAAUCUCAUGCUGUCCACGGGAUUCCUCCAGCGGCAGGUGGGAGGAGAAGGCACUGGAGGCUAUUGAAAGGGACGAGCCUGGAAAGUACCAAUGCACUGUUCUCUGCCUUCCACUGAUUUUUCUUUGCUUCCUUCCCAGUUUCUCUGAAAUAGAUUUUGUUUCUUGUUUAUUUUAUGUAUAGGCUUCAAUUGAAUUAUUUUUGCUAUCUACAUUUAUUUUAUGCCUUGUUUUUAAAUUGUUUUAAUGUGG